UCCCUGGUGGUCUAGUGGUUAGAACUCAGCCCUGUCACUGCUAUAGCCCAGGUUUAGUCCCUGGUCUGGGAA
rnacentral:tRNA from 1 species